AUCGCUUCUCGGCCUUUGGCAAGAUCAUGUGUAGUAUUCCUGUGUCCUUUUCAGCUUAAUAGCUAAACGCGAACUAACCGAUGUCGCUGUGCUAUAUUAAACUGAUUUUUGAGCCUAGGGCGCGAGAGAGAGGGGCUCUGCUCGUCCGGGCCCACGGGCUUGGCCCGGUAUUGCAUACACCUUCCGGGGAUCGGCCCUC
rnacentral:snRNA from 1 species